CAUGGCUUGUGGAUGUCCCAAAGAGGGUGUUAAUUAUGCUUGGUGAUGUAGAGAACGAGCUUGCUAGUGUAGGUAUAAACACAUGGUGUUGCCCAUGCUUGAAAUGAAGACCCAACCAGGAAGCUGCUACAUGGUCGAGGCCUCCAAAGGAUAGGAGGGAUUCGACAGAUAUUGAAAUAUAUGGGAUGCAAGGAAUCCCACCUGAUGUCUUGGCUGCACAUUAUGGAGAGGAAGAAUACGACGCCCCGUCAAAAAUGGCUAAAUGGAAAUCCCAUCAACUCAGCUUUUUGGUGGUGUGGUGCCAGGUUCACUGGGGAUAUAUCCUCCCUAACCACGUUUUGAAAUGCGGCCAAUAUACAAUUCAUCGGUCCCAAUGCCUCAUAACAGUUGGCAAGUUGCACCCCGUCCCCAGCCUUGGUAUCCACAGCCUCCGGCAGUCUCUGGUCCUCCGCCUUCCGGAUUGGGUUAUUCACAACAGCCAUUGUUUCCUGUGCAGCCACCUCUACCAUCAACCCCCUGGACUUCAAUCUUCACAGUAACUCCUCCUGAACUGCUGCAUUACUUAAUUGAUGUAAUGAUUUCUACAAAAACAUUUCCAAUUGUUAUUCUGUAAAUGAAAUUAAUCAUAAUGAGGGUAAUAUGAGUAUGACAUUUGAGCAAAAAGAAAUUUUUUUUUUAUUUGAACAUACCUCAUUUACGGCGCGCAGUGUGCACCUUAACUAGGAGUUUAGCCACUCUUUUACGGCAUGCUGUGUAUGCCUUUAAUAUGAGGUCUUUUACGGCGUGCAAUGUGGGCCGUAAAUGACCAAAAUGACAUUUGUGGAACCACUUUUAUGGCGUGUUAAUUGUUCUUUUAUGACGCAUUUUUGCACGCCGUAAAAGACAUAUGUCUUUUACGGCGCGAGCUUUUACAGCGUGUUUUUGUGCGCCGUAAAUAGGCUUUUACGGCGCACA